rnacentral:rRNA from 1 species
UGGGGAAUCUUGCGCAAUGGGCGAAAAGCCUGACGCAGCGACGCCGCGUGGGGGAUGACGGGUUUCGGCUUGUAAACCCCUGUUGCCCGGGACGAACUUCUCCUUUCGAGGAGAUUGACGGUACCGGGUGAGGAAGCACCGGCUAACUCUGUGCCAGCAGCCGCGGUAAUACAGAGGGUGCGAGCGUUGUCCGGAAUCACUGGGCGUAAAGGGCGCGUAGGUGGCGCGACAAGUCGGUGGUGAAAGUUCGACGCUCAACGUCGAAUCGGCCACCGAUACUGUCGGGCUCGAGCACUGUAGAGGCUAAUGGAAUUCCGGGUGUAGCGGUGGAAUGCGUAGAGAUCCGGAAGAACACCGGUGGCGAAGGCGGUUAGCUGGGCAGUUGCUGACACUGAGGCGCGACAGCGUGGGGGGAGCAAACAGGAUUAGAUACC